UGAUUUUAUUUUCAUGAAAUCUUGGUAAUUACUAUCCCCCUGUUGGGCCUGACCCAAAGUAUGUUUGAUGCCAAUGGAAAGAGCUCUUGCUGAAGUGUUAAUGGCCUUUAGGGUGAUGAUUUCAUUUGUUACCAUGAAACAGCUGGGUUCUUCAGGAGUGUAGUCAGUCUGCUCUAAUAUAAGUAUCUGAGUAUCCUGAAAUAAACUAUGGAAUAUAUGACACUCUUCAAACAGAGACUGCUUAAUGCAUGGAGACAGGAAGUUUGGGGAGAACUGAGGUGGCUAACCUGAAAGUAUUGCCUGGCACUGUGCAACCUGAAAGCACAUUUUGUUCUUUCCAAUUAAAAUGAUAUCUGCUCUUGUGUUGCCUUAGUGUUCCUCAUUACUCCUUUCACAUUAAAGGUGAGAAGGGCAGGAAUUACCCUUGCAAACUCUCAUGAAGGUUAGGUUGUGGUUUGUGCAAGUAUUUUCACCAUUCAGAAGCUUGGCAGGAAGCACCUUUUGCCAGCACCUGUAAAUGCUGGGGACCAGCAGGGAGCCUAAUCAAAGCUCGUUGUCAGAGCAGAGUUAAUUUAAUUUGGUUAAUCUGUCAUGAGAUGUGUUAUCAGAGAUUCAUGUCCAUUUUAUGUGGGGUGCAGUGGGCAGGCUGAUCAAUGAGCAAAAAUUCUCUUCCUGUUGAUGUCUGAGAAGAUAUUUAUUGGCUUGUAUUGUAUCAGAGCACACAAGUGCAGGUCAGUCCAGCUGCAGAGCUGGCAUCCCAUGUCCACAGAUUAUAUUUAAAUUUUAAAAGCAGCUAGAAGAGUGAAACUCUAGUUCAAUUAAGAAAAAAAUAGUCUCUCAAAAAUUGGAAUUUGAAUCUGAAUUGAAUUUACUUCAGUUGAACUCAGAGUUCAAGCUCACUUUGACCGAAUGAGAGCUGGGAACCGACCUCUUGUACACCUGAUUAUCUGUUUCUAGAUCCUCCCUGAAGCAUCAGGUGUGGAGGCACCUAAAAGCAGCAGGAGAGCAGCAUGGAAAUCAGGAGAAAACACAAAGAAAGAGGCAAAGACAAAUUUACAGAUCCUGCUGGGCCACUGUCCUGUGAUGGUAACAAUGCUGACAAUAUGACACCAAGGCUGCCAUUCAAGCAGAUACCUUGAAGGACAAAACAACAGCUGUUGGGAUUGAAGGGAUCAAGGAGAGCAGUGGUGUGGGGGGGGGGUGGCUCUGAAAGCAAGAAGUGUCAGAGAAACCCCAUGAAAAGUCCAGCUGUGUCAGAGGACAAGAUCACCAUUCUCAAAUAGUCUUUGCUGCUCUAAAGGAGAGCAGUUUGUGAGAGUGCUGCCUAACAGGCUUCUGACCUGAAGAGAGCCAGCUGGGUAAGUUUAAAAUUUAUAAGUGGAUAGUCUGAGCUAUGUCAGAUGAAUUUGCUUGAGGAACUGUAGGAGUGUUCCCGUAAAUGUUUUCAGUAGAAUUAUCUCCACCAGGGAAUGGUGACAAGUACUAUCAAGCCUUGGAGGAUGUAAGAAAAGUAAGCUGGACAUGUGAUUCAAAGCUACUGAAUGCUCAGAGCUUGUCACAAUGCUGCUUUUAGGGGAAUGGCCAAGACCCUAAGAACAGGCAGCAGUGUUUUGCAAAAGAAGGGUUAGAAAUGUUAGGCCAAUGCGAAGCUGCCCAUGCUGGUGCCCCUGCAGCCAGACCCCAGGGUAGGUAUGGUACCAGCCACUGACUGCUCUGGGUCACUUGCAUUGCUGUAAGUCAGGAGCCAGCACAGUGAAGUCCAAAGAUGCCCUGUUGUAAGAGCAAAAUCAGGCAUCUUUUCCAUGUGCUGGGAUUUAUUUGCUGUUCAGGAUUUACAGUCAUCUCUGGCAAUUGCUUCUUGCAGCCACAAACCCGAGUAUAUCCUAUACUGAAGCACAGCAAUAACAAGAUUUGAAUGUCAUUAGGGGCUGUUCCUACACAUCUUGUAUUAAAGCAGCUAAGUGUUUAACCCAUGAAUAGAACUCCUAUUAUCUUUGCUUUUGAAUCCUCAGCACAGAUCACUUAACCACUCUGCAAGAAAUCCCGUGAGAGACCAACAACAGCAGGGAACAAAGUCGGGCAAGAAAUAGCAGAUUGUAUCUUCUAGACCUUUUUAAAUACAUUUUUCAUAUGAGUACAGUCAACUUGAAUAUUACUCCUAAUAUAGAUUAACUUAAGACAGAUUUUUGCAGAGCAUGAGGCUCUGAGAAUUUGGCCAGAUAGUUUUUUCACUGAAAAGCUCUGCCAAUUAUAUACAGCACAAAGUACAGAAUAAUGCAUGAAAUGCAUAAUAUGCCUUUUUCUUCUCUACAUGGGGCUUAAAAAUAAAUUAUACAGAUCUUCUUUGCUUUUUUCAUCUGUGCUCAGGUAAAUCUAAGUCUGAGGUAAGAAUCUGUUUCAGAGGAGCUCAUCUAGCAGAAUGAGCUACCAAAUUUGUUGGUUCAGUUUCCAGGCAAGAAUGUGGCCAUUUGAGAAGUUUCAGUGUUGUACAGGAUCAGCUAUAGUCUCAUCAACAGUUGUGUAAAUCUGGAGGAUCAAGGUUAAGAAGGUAAUAGCAAUGUGAGAUCUGCCUGUAUAUAACUUUUUGAGAAGGAAUCAACACUUUUUGGCAGACCUGAAUGCAGUAGAAGCAGCAGAAUUUAGUAUCUCCCUCAGUGAGACCACAGAGCAAACAAGUCUCUGCCUCCAGCAGCCCUCACUGAAGAGUCAGCACAUCCACAGUGCUUCUAUGUGAGAAUUUUAAAAACUGAUGGAGCUGCAAUGGUGGGCACCAAACCAUGCCCUCUCCUUCAAAGUAGUUACAACAGUAUGUGCUGUACUGUGGUGUAAGUGGGCCAUGUCCAUGCACACCUGAUUUGUGCAGCUGCAGGCUGACACACCAGCACACAAACCACUGAUUACAAGUGUGUGUGAGCCAGCACUGUGCAGUAGCCUUUGCUCAGGCAUGGUCAGCAGCACAGCUCUGCAAAUUGCAGGGAGCUGGUGUGUUUUGUGUGAGGUUGCUGAUGUGGACAGAUAGGUUUACCAGCUCUUUUUCCUCCCAGCCCUCAAGUUCAUCAAAGCAGAAAUCAUUAUGAAGCCCAAACCAUACAGACCAACACUGGGAUUAGCUCACUUGGUUGGAGCAUGGUGCUAAUAGUGCCAAGGUUGUGGGUUGGAUCUCUGUAUGGACCAUUCACUUAAGAGCUGGACUUGAUGAUCCUUGUGGGUCCCUUCCAGCUCAGAAAAUAAAAUAUAUGACACAGUCAUCUUUGCCACACAUGGACUAAUGCCUUACUCUUAAAAAAAAAAAAACAAACAAAAAACCCUGUAUUUCUUUUAAGGCACAUCAAAUACCUUGUCUGAAAACUUCCUUUUCUUGUAGCAUCCAAAUUACAGCCAAACAGGUUUUCACACCUGCUUUUGCUAAUGACUUUCUAAAUACAGAAAGAUAAUGAUAGUUAUCAAGUUUGUUUGCUUAAAUUUGUGUAGUUGUCUUUGCUCUCUAAUAUCCCACAUAGCCCAUGGUGUUGGCAGACUGGUGUCAGAGGGAAGCUGAAACACUCUUUUGCCAAAUCAGCUGUUAGAAACUGCAGCAGGAAAUCAGGCUACCUGUUCAGUUCCCCUCUCCCAGAGAAAAUGGCACAAAUGCACUCCCCUCUCCCUGCCCUGGGAAGCUUUGUCCAAGGGUUUGGAGACUUUAUGCAGAAGCUCAGGCAAAUGUUCCUGUCACACACUGGCAGAGAGUCCCAGCCCCACCUGACACGUUCUGCUCUGUGGGACUGCCCAGUGUGCACAAGGGACAUGAGUGCAUUGGUGGUAGCAAAUGAUCUGUUGAGGCUGCCAAUGCUGGGUUUGAUAUACCAUCAUGAACAAUGAAAAGCUUAUAUUAAAUCAAGAACAGUCACACUAUUUAAUCAGAUAUGUUUUCAGAGCAAACUUUCAUACAGAUGAAUUUAUAUCAGGAGGUUAAGAAUAAAACUUUGUCUUUAAAAUACUAUAUUUUCCACUGUUAGGAAAAAUGAAAAACUAUUGAAGUCUCUUUAAAACCUUGUUUCCUUUCUAGUUAUUCUUCCUGCAGCAGGUGAUAGUGAUAUCUCAGUAGAAGUUUAGACACAUGGAACACGUUCCAGGUGAUUACUGGGAUAAAUCUCUACAUAUUCUCUGCACAGUGGAGCAUAUGCCAAGGUCCUGAACUAAAUUUAUCUCUCAGAAGGAAGGUGUAAUAUACACUCCACAUCCGUACCAGGUAUUUCAUAUAAACAGAACAUAGAACCUGCUCUUAUUGUCUCUGAAUCCUGGCACAGUAUGUUCUCUUGAUAAUUUAUAGACAGUGUUACCACAAUGAAACAUUGGUGUCAAAAAUUUGGCUUUUGCAUAUUCAUUGACACCAGAGUUUGCAUUUGUGAUGUGGCAAAAUGAAACCAGAGUGGAUUAAGAAAGGUUUUCUGGAAUCUCAAGUUUUACAUAACCACCAGAAUGGAAGGCAUUUCUUGCAUGCAGUGGUCACAUCCCCUUUGAAUGUAGUUCUGCCCAUGCACAUAAGAGAGAACCUGAAUUUUAUAACCCACUUGGAGAGUAGCCUGAUGUAAAAUGAGCACCUGGCAAAGAAUCUUGGUUUUGUUUAUGAAAAGAAAAUAUGAAAGAGUGUGUAUCCAUGGUACAGGAUACCGGAGUGGUGAAGAACAUACAUGUAAACCAUAGAAUGACUGAAUUGCAGAACAUUAAGUUAAUGGUGGUUCUGUGGUUCCAAAAAAAUCAAAAUACACUUCCUCUACCUUUCAAGUCUAGCAAUAUAACAGUGUUUAAAACCAAAAAGCAAUGUUUUGGGAACUUGUUGCAGAGCAGGCAGUGACCUGUAGUCUCAGAUAGUGAAAUUUUUAAAGAGUAAUUCCUUACCCUGUUUUUCUCUUUCAGAUUUGAUGCUUAGACUAGUAAGACUGCCAGACUCCCAGGGAAAAGGUCUAUGUCCUCCACAUGCACUAAAGGAAUUAGGAGUCUUGUGUUGUUCUGGUAGUGAUGGAAGGAAAAAAAAAAGUAACACUUUGUCACUUCAGGAAAGAAGCCCAGUCUUCAGAAGACAUUGCUACUGCAGAUUACUCAUUAAACACUCUCAUGGCCUAUUUCCAACCUUUUCUAUUCCUAAGGCAUGUUCCUUAGAUGCUGUGAUUUUUUUGAUAUCAUAGGAAUAUACACAAAUUUGCUAUUUGUUCUGUAUUCACAGAUUUUAAGACUGAGUAUAUUAGAGAUACCCAUUCUUAGACAAAUCAGUUCACUCACCUUUUUCCCCUUCAUCUUAUAACACAUAUCCAAAAUCUAAAUUUUGGUGUGGUAAGGACUUGACUGUUUUUAAGAAAAUGCUAAUCUUCACUCUGAAAUAACUUAGUCUUCCAGUGAUUACAGAAUGUGCUUCGAAGCCGCCUAUGAGUCAGGCUGUGAGUUGGAGUUCAGAUAAGCCUGCAGUGUUUGUUCACCAGAUGGACCAUAAGCUCUGCAAAGUAGAGCAAAGGAUAUUGCUUAUUAACACUGCUCCCAACUUCACUUAUUUCUUUGUACAAAGUCUGGUUACUUGAUGCAAUUUUAGACUGUAUUUACACUGUUAGGAGGAGGAAACAAUUUUUUUAUAACAGGAUAGGCAAAUCUAGCAAAGUAGAUCAGACUAAAAUGGAACUGAGUAUGGUUCCUUUAUUACAUCAUUUUAAGUAGGCAAGACUGAUACCCUCCACUUCUCAAACACACCCACACUGAAUUUACAUACCUGUGCAGUGGCAAAAAAGUAUUUAAAUCAAUUAUGUCUUGGGAUUUUAAAGCAAAUUAGCCCAGUCAUAGUUGUUACCUGUGCUUAAAACACCAUCUCUUUGAUGGUUACAUGCAACCAACAUAAUACUUAUAUAAGACUCAAAUCUGGUUUUUCUCUCAUUUACUUUGUGCUAGAUACUAAUUCUCACCUAACAUGGGGAAUUUUCAGAGUAGUAACUCUCUGAAGUGUCUUCUCUGUAACCUGAUUAAAUAUCUUCUGAUGCAACACAGAUCAAUCAAGCUGCCAUUAUUCAUAAAUGUUAUAAUAAGAAAAUUAAUUUAACAGUUUUAUUCAAUUUAUGAUUUUAUUUUGUUUUUUGUAUUGGUACAGUUCAUUUCUUCAGUUUUUGUGAUUUUUUUUUCCACCUUCAUAUUCUCAAGGUGCUCCACCUUGCCCUUUCCUCUUUUUAGUCUGAAUCAACACAAGAAAAAACUCACUUCACUGUACUGCGGGACCAACAAAUCUGAUGCACGUGCAACUGGUGUAGAAACCUGACACUGUCAAAAUUUGUUAUCACGGGCUCUCUGCCAUCACCCCAGCUGGCAAAAAUGGGACACGGUUCCACUGCAUGAAUGGAAGAGAUGCCUUGCAGACAGCGAUGCUCAGAGAGUGGCACUCCUUGAAACUGACACGGGCUUCAUCUGCUUGUGAAAUGUUGCAACGAAAAAUACCUCCUGUAAAAUUUUAUUUGUAACGUCACUGGAUCAUUAGGAAAAUUCCCUUAAUAAAGGAUGCUCCUGAAUCUUA